rnacentral:ncRNA from 1 species
GGGGAUUAAACUUAAGAGGGAAGUCGGGUGAAAAUCCCGCGCGGUCCCGCCACUGUGAUGGGAAGCCGCCUUAAUAAUACGCCACUGGGAAACCGGGAAGGCAUAAGGCGGCGAUGAACCUAAGCCAGGAGACCUGCCUAUACCUGA